rnacentral:lncRNA from 15 species
AUGUCUUCAGUCUGUCUACGAUCUGUCUUCAGUCUGUCUACGACCUGUCUUCAGUCUGUCUACGACCUGUCUACAGUCUGUCUACAGUCUGUCUUCAGUCUGUCUACGAUCUGUCUACAAUGUCUUCAGUCUGUCUCGAUCUGUCUUCAGUCUGUCUACGAUCUGUCUUCAGUCUGUCUACGACCUGUCUACAGUCUGUCUACGAUCAGUCUACGAUCUGUCUUUGAUCUGUCUUUGAUCUGUCUUCAGUCUGUCUUUGAUCUGUCUUCAGUCUGUCUACAGUCUGUCUACGAUCUGUCUUCAGUCUGUCUACGGUCUGUCUUCAGUCUGUCUACAGUCUGUCUACGAUCUGUCUUCAGUCUGUCUUUGAUCUGUCUUCAGUCUGUCUACAGUCUGUCUACGAUCUGUCUACAAUGUCUUCAGUCUGUCUACGAUCUGUCUUCAGUCUGUCUACGAUCUGUCUUCAGUCUGUCUACGACCUGUCUGCAGUCUGUCUACGAUCUGUCUUCAGUCUGUCUACGACCUGUCUACAGUCUGUCUACGAUCAGUCUACGAUCUGUCUUUGAUCUGUCUUUGAUCUGUCUUCAGUCUGUCUUUGAUCUGUCUUCAGUCUGUCUACAGUCUGUCUACGAUCUGUCUUCAGUCUGUCUACGGUCUGUCUUCAGUCUGUCUACAGUCUGUCUACGAUCUGUCUUCAGUCUGUCUACGAUCUGUCUUCAGUCUGUCUUCAGUCUGUCUACGAUCUGUCUUCAGUCUGUCUACGAUCUGUCUUCAGUCUGUCUACGAUCUGUCUACGAUCUGUCUUCAGUCUGUCUACGAUCUGUCUUCAGUCUGUCUAUGAUCUGUCUACAGUCUGUCUUCAGUCUGUCUACGAUCUGUCUUCAGUCUGUCUACGGUCUGUCUACAGUCUGUCUUCAGUCUGUCUACAGUCUGUCUUCAGUCUGUCUACGAUCUGUCUACGAUCUGUCUUCAGUCUGUCUACAAUCUGUCUACAGUCUGUCUACGAUCUGUCUUCAGUCNNNNNNNNNNNNNNNNNNNNUGUUUCUGUGUGUGUGUGUGUGUUACUGUGUGUGUGUGUGUUACUGUGUGUGUGUUACUGUGUGUAUGUGUUACUGUGUUAGUGUGUCUGUGUGUUACUGUGUGUGUGUGUGUGUGUGUUACUGUGUGUGUGUGUGUGUGUGUGUGUGUGUUAUUGUGUUAGUGUGUCUGUGUGUGUUACUGUGUGUGUGUGUGUGUGUUACUGUGUGUGUGUGUUAUUGUGUUACUGUGUGUGUGUUACUGUGUGUGUGUGUGUUACUGUGUGUGUGUUACUGUGUGUGUGUGUUAUUGUGUUACUGUGUGUGUGUUACUGUGUGUGUGUGUGUUACUGUGUGUGUUACUGUGUGUGUGUGUUACUGUGUGUGUUACUGUGUGUGUGUUACAGUGUGUGUGUGUGUGUGUUAUUGUGUGUGUGUUACUGUGUGUGUGUGUGUUACUGUGUGUGUUACUGUGUGUGUGUGUUACUGUGUGUGUGUGUUAUUGUGUGCGUGUUACUGUGUGUGUGUGUGUUACUGUGUGUGUUACUGUGUGUUACAGUGUGUGUGUGUGUGUGUUAUUGUGUGUGUGUUACUGUGUGUGUGUGUGUUAUUGUGUGUGUGUUACUGUGUGUGUGUGUGUGUUACUGUGUGUGUGUUACUGUGUGUGUUACUGUGUGUGUGUUACAGUGUGUGUGUGUGUGUGUUAUUGUGUGUGUGUUACUGUGUGUGUGUGUGUUAUUGUGUGUGUGUUACUGUGUGUGUGUGUGUGUUACUGUGUGUGUGUUACUGUGUGUGGGUUAUUGUGUUACUGUGUGUGUUACACUGUGUGUGUUAUUGUGUGUGUGUGUGUGUGUUACUGUGUGUGUGUUAUUGUGUUACUGUGUGUGUGUUAUUGUGUUACUGUGUGUGUGUGUGUGUUACUGUGUGUGUGUGUGUAUGA